AUUGAACGCUGGCGGCAGGCCUAACACAUGCAAGUCGAGCGGUAGAGAGAAGCUUGCUUCUCUUGAGAGCGGCGGACGGGUGAGUAAUACCUAGGAAUCUGCCUGAUAGUGGGGGAUAACGUUCGGAAACGGACGCUAAUACCGCAUACGUCCUACGGGAGAAAGCAGGGGACCUUCGGGCCUUGCGCUAUAAGAUGAGCCUAGGUCGGAUUAGCUAGUUGGUGAGGUAAUGGCUCACCAAGGCUACGAUCCGUAACUGGUCUGAGAGGAUGAUCAGUCACACUGGAACUGAGACACGGUCCAGACUCCUACGGGAGGCAGCAGGUGGGAAUAUUGGACAAGUGGGACGAAAGCCUGAUCCAGUCAUGCCGCGUGUGUGAAGAAGGUCUUCGGAUUGUAAAGCACUUUAAGUGGAGGAGGCAUUAACCUAAUACGUUAGUGUCUUGACGUUACCGACAGAAUAAGCACCGGCUAACUCUGUGCCAGCAGCCG
rnacentral:rRNA from 1 species